rnacentral:rRNA from 1 species
ACGCUCGACACCUACGGGAGGCAGCAGUUGGGAAUAUUGGACAAUGGAGGAAACUCUGAUCCAGUGACGCCGCGUGAAGGAAGAAGGUCUUCGGAUUGUAAACUUAUUUUGUCAGGGAAGAAAAAUGACUGUACCUGAAGAAAAAGCACCGGCUAACUACGUGCCAGUAGCCGCGGUAAUCUGAGCGGGCUGGCAAGGC